AACAUACCUUUGAAAUUGAAAUUGAAUCGAGCUCGGAACACUGGAACAGGACAGCAGCGUCUUCGACACUUCGUUUUGCCCUGAAUUUGUGAGGAGUGAGGAAUCGAAUCGAGCUGGAAAUCACCGCCUAUGAUAUUUUCCUACACUGGAACAGUAUACUUCGUUUGAUGCCGAAAAUCAGACCAUUAUAAUUUAAAGGCCCAUGCGGAAACUCAAAAGUCAAAACUUAAGCAGUCGUAGACCGGUGAAGAUGAGAUGAGAGUGAGACUUACAAAAUGUAGACUGAUAUCCUAAGCAGUCGAUUCUCGUCUAGACUCGCAGACUGAUAAGUGAUAUCCUAGACUCGCAGAGUCGCAGACUCGCAGUCGUCCAGUCGAUGACUCGAUUCUCGUCUUCUUCUUCUCGAUGAUAUCUC
rnacentral:lncRNA from 1 species